GAGAUGGAUGGGAUGGAAUUCACAAAAGUCGAAAGUGACAGGAUGAUCUGGUGUUGGAACACCAUCGGAGUGAAGAUCGUGUAGUUGAUGAUGGAGAAGAAAGUUUUGAAGAUGGCCAGAAAAAGAUCAGUGAACAAAGGAGCCUCCUUGACUCAAAUCCUAAAAACACAUGAAAGCGGGAUGGAUCUUCCUGAGGGCCCCGCACCUAUGUACACAUUCCCCCGGCUUCCAGGCCAGCGAAAGACGGCAUUGUGGGUAAUCCGCGCUGCCCCGCACCUUCACCCCCUGGCCCUGAUUAAACCACCUGCUUAAAGCAACGGCUACUUUGGAGAUCCAAGGCUGUCCAGUUCCCACAGCAAGGCAGUGUGGCCUACAGGAUUCCCUUUGGCAGAAGCAGCAGCUUUACAGAUGUGACUAAAGACCAGGAAGACCUGCAACUCUGCCCUAACUCUCCAAGCACCUGCUUUGUGGUCUAUAUAAUGAGGAAUAAUU